rnacentral:rRNA from 1 species
AUUGAACGCUGGCGGCAGGCCUAACACAUGCAAGUCGAGCGGAUGAGGGGUGCUUGCACUCCGAUUCAGCGGCGGACGGGUGAGUAAUGCCUAGGAAUCUGCCCGAUAGUGGGGGACAACGUUUCGAAAGGAACGCUAAUACCGCAUACGUCCUACGGGAGAAAGUGGGGGAUCUUCGGACCUCACGCUAUCGGAUGAGCCUAGGUCGGAUUAGCUAGUUGGUGAGGUAAUGGCUCACCAAGGCGACGAUCCGUAACUGGUCUGAGAGGAUGAUCAGUCACACUGGAACUGAGACACGGUCCAGACUCCUACGGGAGGCAGCAGUGGGGAAUAUUGGACAAUGGGCGAAAGCCUGAUCCAGCCAUGCCGCGUGUGUGAAGAAGGUCUUCGGAUUGUAAAGCACUUUAAGUUGGGAGGAAGGGCUGUAGGCUAAUAUCCUGCAGUUUUGACGUUACCAACAGAAUAAGCACCGGCUAACUUCGUGCCAGCCGCCGCUGUAACAC